rnacentral:rRNA from 1 species
UACGUAGGGGUCGAGCGUUGUCCGGACGUUACUGGGCGUAAAGCGUGGGUAGGUGGAUCGUGAUGUGCCGUGUGAAAGCGCCGCGCUUCUCGCGGCGAGGUCGCGGUAGACACACGAUCUAGAGGCACGGAGAGGGGCGUAGAGUUCCCGGUGUAGUGGUGAAAUGCGUAGAUAUCGGGAGGAAUACCAGUGGCGCAAGCGGCGCCCUGGCCGUGACCUGACACUGAGCCACGACGGCGUGGGGAGCAAACGGG